UCGAGAAUCUUCGGCAAUGGACGCAAGUCUGACCGAGCGACGCCGCGUGUGGGAUGAAGGCCUUCGGGUUGUAAACCGCUGUCAGUGGGGAGGAAGGCCGUGUGAAGAGCAUGGUUUGACCUAUCCGCAGAGGAAGUGUGGGCUAAGUUCGUGCCAGCAGCCGCGGUAAGACGAACCACACGAACGUUAUUCGGAAUUACUGGGCUUAAAGGGUGCGUAGGCGGCGCGGUAAGUAGGGUGUGAAAUCCCUCGGCUCAACCGAGGAACUGCGCUCUAAACUACCGUGCUUGAGGGAGAUAGAGGUGAGCGGAACUUAGGGUGGAGCGGUGAAAUGCGUUGAUAUCCUAAGGAACACCGGUGGCGAAAGCGGCUCACUGGAUCUCUUCUGACGCUGAGGCACGAAAGCUAGGGUAGCGAACGGGAUUAGAUACCCCGGUAGUCCUAGCCGUAAACGAUGAGCACUAGUUGGGAGGGGCUUCGGCCCAUUCGAACGCAGCGAAAGCU
rnacentral:rRNA from 1 species